UACGUAGGGGGCAAGCGUUGUCCGGAUUUAUUGGGCGUAAAGAGCGUGUAGGCGGCUUUGCAGGUCCGCUGUGAAAACUCGAGGCUCAACCUCGAGACGCCGGUUGAAACCAUCUGACUAGAGUCCGGAAGAGGAGAGUGGAAUUCCUGGUGUAGCGGUGAAAUGCGUAGAUAUCGGGAGGAACACCAGUGGCGAAGGUGAUCAUCUGGGGUUGUUCUGACACUGAGGAGCGAAAGCUAGGGGAGCAAACGGG
rnacentral:rRNA from 1 species